rnacentral:rRNA from 1 species
GAGGAAUAUUGGUCAAUGGGGGCAACCCUGAACCAGCCAAGUCGCGUGAAGGAUGAAGGUCUUAUGGAUUGUAAACUUCUUUUAUACAGGAAUAAAUUGGGGGACGUGUCCCCUUUUGCAUGUACUGUAUGAAUAAGGAUCGGCUAACUCCGUGCCAGCAGCCGCGGUAAUACGGAGGAUCCGAGCGUUAUCCGGCUUUAUUGGGUUUAAAGGGUGCGCAGGCGGGAUGUUAAGUCGGCGGUGAAAUUUUGCAGCUCAACUGUAAAAGUGCCUUCGAUACUGGCUUCCUUGAGUGUGGAUGAAGUAGGCGGAAUUUGUGGUGUAGCGGUGAAAUGCUUAGAUAUCACGAGGAACUCCGAUUGCGCAGGCAGCUUACUAAGCCACAACUGACGCUCAUGCACGAAGGCGUGGGGAUCAAACA